GGGAGAGUGGUAGAGCGGUCAAUUACAGCAGACUGUAAAUCUGCCGCCUUCGGGCUGCGUUGGUUCAAAUCCAACCUCUCCCA
rnacentral:tRNA from 1 species